rnacentral:rRNA from 1 species
CAGCCGCCGCGGUAAUACGAGGGGGGCAAGCGUUGUUCGGAAUUAUUGGGCGUAAAGGGUGCGUAGGCGGUUUGGCAAGUCUUAUGUGAAAUCUUCGGGCUCAACCCGAAGCCUGCACGAGAAACUGCCGGGCUUGAGUAUUGGAGAGGUGAGUGGAAUUUCCGGUGUAGUGGUGAAAUGCGUAGAUAUCGGAAGGAACACCUGUGGCGAAAGCGGCUCACUGGACAAUAACUGACGCUGAUGCACGAAAGCUAGGGGAGCAAACAGGAUUAGAUACCCGAGUAGUCCCUGUCUCUUAUAC